rnacentral:lncRNA from 10 species
UUGAUCCUCCAGAAAAUCAGCUCUGUUACAUCUGCCGCCUCCUGUGAGCACAAGGCACAGAAAGUAGACCCUGUAACCCUCAGAGGGCCUGAAGGAAAGCGAUGCUGGUGUGACCUGCCCAAGAGGAUGGUGCCCAAGGCAGAGCAUUCUAGACCCUCAUAGGCAACAGAGCCAGGAAUGGAAGUGAGGAUACAGAGAAUGCACAAACGGGAACCAUGUGAGGACAGUGAGAAGGUGGCCAUCUACAAGACGAGAUGAGAGGCCUCAGAAGAAAGAAACCAAA